UCACUUAUGGUUUACCAGUUAGAAACGCAUAUCACUUAUAUCAAAUGCAUAAGGGGAAAUAACUCUCAUAUGGAGUCUCCGGAUAGCUUCGGUCCAAAUGAAUAUCCUAAUCCUGAAGAUGUAACGAGAGCAAUUUGGUAAAAUAAAUUUGUCGUAAUCUUUUACGGUUGCGAAGGAGUAGUGGCCACAAGAAAAACAGUGUUUGGGGAGAUAACUCUUACAACGUAAAGUAUUUUGUUACGCAGUUGUAAAUUUUUAAAGCGUAUAAACUAUACGAUAUCAUAUUCCAAAUAUCUAAGCGACAUCUUUUGAAACAUCAAUACUACGCAAGAAAAAAUUUAGGCGGAAAAGAAAAAAAAAAUAAUAAUAAUUAAAAACCAAUUGUUCAAAGAACAAUUGAAGGUCUUUCCACAAGUAAAGAUCUAUUUUAUUAUCAAAAUAUUAAAAAUCAAUCUAAAAUGUCAGUUCCUAUGACUUUAUAAUGUAUAAAUAUGAAUUUAAAGCAAAGGUCAAAAUCUAGAACGUCCUAUUAACCUUUGACCUUGACCUCAAUUUCAAGGUCACCAACCAAGAACCUCAAAUAAAAAGACCCUAGGUCUGUAAUAUGUAUGGUUAAUGAGUUAUAUCACUUUAGGCAUGAUUUUAAAUAUAAGAUGGGCGAAAACUCUCAUUUAUUGUUUACGCACCCUUCCAACCAAAAUUUAUAAGUUACAACAUGUCGCAACUCACAAUUUAGUAAAAAUAAUUUGUCAAUAUCUU
rnacentral:lncRNA from 1 species